rnacentral:rRNA from 1 species
CAGACGAUGCGUCAUGCAUAUCAAUAAGGCGGAGGAAAAGAAACUAACUAGGAUUCCCUCAGUAACGGCGAGUGAAGCGGGAAGAGCUCAAAUUUGAAAUCUUCAAGGUUCUACCUUGACGAAUUGUAGUUUAAAGAAGUGUUUUCUGUUGGAGUUUUGGUAAAAGUUCUUUGGAAUAGGACAUCAUAGAGGGUGAGAAUCCCGUAUUUGACCGUUAUUUCUAGCUUUGUGAUACACUUUCAAAGAGUCGGAUUGUUUGGGAAUGCAGUCCAAAAUGGGUGGUAAAUUUCAUCUAAAGCUAAAUAUUGGCGAGAGACCGAUAGCGAACAAGUACCGUGAGGGAAAGAUGAAAAGAACUUUGAAAAGAGAGUUAAACAGUACGUGAAAUUGUCAAAAGGGAAGCGUUUGACACCAGUGUUGUUUAAUUGAAAAUCAAUUAACUAAUUUUUGAUUUUAAGUAGUAUUUGACUUUAUCAGCUUGCUAUUUAUUUUUCGAAAAUUAUUUAAUGCACUUUUCAGUUAACAAGUCAACAUCAAUUUCUUUUGUUGUAAAAGGGUAAUGGAAGGUGGCUUUAUUUUCGGCAGAAAGUGUUUAUAGCCUUUGACCUCUGCAAUCGGAGAGAUUGAGGUCUGCAGCGUAGAUCCUUCGGGGUUAGAUACAUUUGUGCUAAGUUAUAGCCUUUCAUAGACAACUUGUUGACUAUGAUCAGUCAUGUAGCUUACUCGCUUAUGCUAUUUUACCUACGCUUAGGAUGUUGAUCUACAGAGCGAGAGU